GUGGGGUAUGGAAUUAGGGCUGUGGGAUUGGGAUGGGGAUUAUGGUGUGGGAUUGGAAGGUGGGGUAUAGGAUUGGGGGUGUGGGGUUGGGAUAAGGUCUGGGAUAUGGGAUUAGGGGUAUGGGAUUGGGAUGUGGGAUUGGGAUGUGGGGUAUAGGAUUGGGGGUGUGGGUUUGGGGUUUGCAUUGGGAUGGGGGCUGUGGGGUGUAGGGUUGGGGUGUAGGGUUGGGGAUUUGGGAUUUGCCUUGGGAUGGGGGCUGUGGGGCCUGGAUGGGGGCUAUUGGGCUGGGAUGUUGGGUUGGGAUUGAGGUUAGGAUGUGGGAUAUAGGAUUAGGGGUGUGGGACCGGGGUUUGCAUUGGGAUGUGGGCUGUGGGGCUGGGGUUGGCAUAUAGGAUUAGAGGUGUGGGAUUGGGAUUUGCAUUGGGCUGUGGGGCUGGAAUGUGGGGUUGGGAUUGAGGUCAGGAUGUGGGAUGUAAAGAAACGUGCCCUGUUCACAGGUGGGUCGUGUGGUGUUGUGGGGAAGCACUGCAGAUGGAAAGCUGCUGUGUGGAGCCCCACAGGAUGAGUUGCAGAGGCCCCUGAAGGAAAAGGAGAAGGAAGGGCAUUUGCAGAGGGAAAGGCUGUCCCGCUGGCCUUAGGUGUUGCUGAACGGGAGGGGUGGCCAAUGCUUUCUCUUUCCGCUGACUCACGGAUGGUGACAAA
ensembl:lncRNA